ACUACCGUACCUAUCUGGAUUACCAGCUGGAUGUAUUCAAUGAAUCAUGCAAUCUAUUUCUUUAUUUUUUUUUCUCUCUCUCUCUUGAGUUGGUUUGAUUUGAUUUGAUUUCAUCUUAUUGAUGUGUGUUAUUCAUUCUUAAUUAUUACAGAUAAAGUAUCAAAAACUUUUCAAAAUAAAUUUCAUCUUAUUAAUGCAUAUAGACGUUCGCAGGUAGCAUUGCAUGUGUUGGUGAAGCAAAUGACAAAAGUCGAUCGAAGAAUGUCGGAUGCUGAGAAAACAGUGGUAUUGGCAUUUGGGGGUGCAAAUUUUGCAUCAAACUCCCCAAUCAAAGGAUAUCUAGGGUGUCCGCAUCGAGCAUUGCAACAAACGGCACGUGAAUAUGUAUUCGUUUUGUCAAUCAACGAACACAGUAUAUCCCAGAAGUGUAGUCGAUCAGGACGUAAACUCAAGAAACGAAGAAGUGUGCCAGAACGUCAAUCAAAAGACCGUUUUCUAGUUUGCCCCAACUGUAAACCGGUCGAAGAUAGCGUUUUUCACCAUCCAAUUCAAUGGACAGGCAGAGUUCAUCGUACUUACAAAAAGAAACAUACAAAAUGUAGAAAAUGAGAAUCUCAUUGUUUCAAACAAUGAUAUCAAGACAUAGUAGUGGACGAUGCUAACAAUUACUAGAAAUAGUAAGCAUAUUAAUUUUCACAGUUUUCACAGUGAUAAAUGAUCUCAACACUGCCAGUACCAAAUCUUAAAUUAAAGCAAUGUUGUUGUUGUGGUCAUUGAUUUUGUAACUGCCUAGGCC